UCAAACUGAGUUGGUAUCAUAGGUUAACCAAGUAUGAACUCAAUUGGGAAAAAACUAAUAUACCUUUUUUAUUGAUAACUAACAUUAUUAUAGUGUUCAUUAUCUUUUCAUAUUUUUAUAUAAUAUUUUUAAUGUUUAAAUAAAAUAAAAGAACUAAAAAUCACAUAUCCAAGAAUUGGAACAUGUUUAUUAAAAUUUAUAUACAAAUUCUUUAUCACUUCCCCUAUAUAAUUUAAUAUUUUUAUGCUAAAUACAAUAUGUAGAUGGCCCAUUUAGCCCCGGUCCCAAACCAAUACUAAAAUUAAAACAAAAUACCCUCAGACCCAAUUCAAUCAAGCCCAAUACAAACCUAAUCCUAAAACCCAUUUACAAUGCGGCCCAAUUGGCCUAAAGCUUAAACAACUUCAAAAAAAAAACCCCUAAGUAGACCACCCUUGAGCUGCAGCCAGCAUUGCGCCUCCCCCGCACAUCGCGCGUUUCCUCCGUGUUGUACGCUCCUCCACCAAGCCACGUCAGAGACGUGCUCGAUCACGCACCUGCAAUAGUUGAAAACAGUUGUAAAAAUCGGCUAUAAGACCGACUCAAAUUGAGUGUAAAAGGGGUUUUUUUUCAGAGAAAAUAUUACGAAUACAAAGGAAAUACAGUGGAAAAGGAAAAACUUCAGAUCUAAAAUAUUUCGAAGGUGAUUUUUUUAUUUUGGUUCUCUAUUGCUUCAUUUCAUCCUUUUUUUUGUUGUUAUUUUUAUUUUUUUUCAUACAAACGAAAAUAAAAAGGGAAAGGAAAAAGAAUUUACCUGAACCCCCAACCGCAGCGCCGGAGAGUGGUUGAAAGGCUCAAAAGUGGCGAUCGAACUACUUCUCUUUGACCUGUAGAAGAAGAGUAAGAGGAAGGGGGGGAGUUUAAAAAGGGAUAAUCCCUUGUUUUUAAGCAGUAAUGAAAAUAAGGGAUAAUCUUUUUCUUUUUGGUUUUAAAAAACAAAUUAAAUGGCUUCAUUUAAGAAAAGGGCUCUGCCCAUUGGCCUGAUCCAUGCGCGCAUUUUUACCCUAAAUGGGUAAAUUGCGCAUCUGGUUCCUCACUUUUGCGUUAUUAUGUGAUUGGGCCCUUUUUGCAUGUCUUUUGUUUUUUAAAUUUUCCCUGGGAUUUAUGUGUUGUUACGGUUUAGUCCAUGUUGAAAUGCUGCAUUUAGGGGCAUGGGAUAAUUUUAUUUUUAGUCCCUAUAAGUUUGCGCGCAUUGUAUUAUAGUCCUCAGUGCUGUAAAUUAACCUUUUGAUUUUAUUUUCUUUUAAAUCGGUCCUUUUUUUUUUGUUUCUUUUUUAUUCAUUUCAAUUGAUUUUUUUUUAUAAAUUCAUUAUCUGUUUUAAUAUAUAUUAUUGGAAUUAUAUUGAAUGUAUUAUGAUUGCAUUAUUUAGUUGUAUAUAUGUAUAUGUAUAUGUAUAUAUUUGCACUUACUUUCAAAUCUAUUUAUAUCUAAUAUUUUUUUUAAAAUCCUAUUUUACUACUUUUUUUAUAUCUUUUAAGCAUUCUCAUCUAUUAUUAUUUUACAUAUAUGUAUUAUUUAUAUUAAGUUUUUCACUUUAUA
rnacentral:lncRNA from 1 species